GAGUUUGAUCCUGGCUCAGAACGAACGCUGGCGGCGUGCCUAACACAUGCAAGUCGAACGUGAUCCAGAGCUUGCUCUGGUGAAAGUGGCGCACGGGUGAGUAACGCGUGGAUAACCUACCCUGGUAUCCGGGAUAACAUUCCGAAAGGGGUGCUAAUACCGGAUAAGCCCACGGGCUCUUUGGAGCUUGCGGGAAAAGGUGGCCUCUAUUUAUAAGCUACUGUAUCAGGAUGGGUCCGCGUACCAUUAGCUAGUUGGCGGUGUAACGGACCACCAAGGCGACGAUGGUUAGCUGGUCUGAGAGGAUGAUCAGCCACACUGGAACUGAGACACGGUCCAGACUCCUACGGGAGGCAGCAGUGGGGAAUUUUGCGCAAUGGGGGAAACCCUGACGCAGCAACGCCGCGUGAGUGAUGAAGGCCUUUGGGUCGUAAAGCUCUGUCAGAGGGGAAGAAAUGAUAUAGUGCUAAUACCACUUUAUCUUGACGGUACCCUCAAAGGAAGCGCCGGCUAACUCCGUGCCAGCAGCCGCGGUAAUAC
rnacentral:rRNA from 1 species